CCGAGUAUAUGGAAUUUCUGUUUUGCCUAGUAUGAACCGAAACUCGAUAUAAUUCAGAA
rnacentral:pre_miRNA from 1 species